CAAAACCCAAAAGGCAUCGCUAUUUGUUCUACAUAAAAAAAUCUCAUAACUAAUGUUCUUUUUUUUUUUUUCUUUUCUUUUUUUUUUUAUCUCCUCGUCGUCGUCGUUUAAAAUAAAAAAAAAAAGAGGAAUAUUAAGCUUAGGCACAAUUUUGCUGCUGGCUGCUUGUGAACAAGCCAAGAGAACACGCCACCCCCUCCUAACUGAGUGAUAUGUAUUGACUGUUCCGCGCUUUAUACUUAAGGCAAUUUUCUGUUUUGUUUGCUUUCGUUUCAGACAAAGUGUUUCAUUUCCACCCCUUACGUCACGCCAGGAUCCGUCCACGUGUGUCAGUAUGAGCAGGACUAAAGUUCAUGGUUCGGGAAGGUCGCAGAUCACAGCGAGGGUUUGCAUCCUACGGGUCUCUGCAUCCGGAGGAACAAAAGGAUCUUUACAUGUGUCCAACGGGGUUGUGACCGUCUCCGAGACCAGGAUGAGAAGCUGAAAGCGUCAUCUGGGGGUCUCCCACCACUCCGGACACUUUCUCCUCUUCCCGACGCUUCAAGCAGGCCGCUUUGGGGUUCAGAUUGCGCUCUCGUACUUGCUGCUCCAGGCCCAGAAUGACCUGCACCGCUUGCUGGAGGAUGAUCAGUUUGGUCUGUGCUUUGUCCGUUUUUAAGUGCAUCUGACACAUGCGUCCCAGUUCCUUAAAGGCCUCGUUAAUGUCCCGCACGCGCACCCUCUCCCUGGCGUUAUUGGCCAUUCUCCUCUCCCGGUCCCUCAGAUCUUUGUCCUCCAGUGAUAAGGCCUCGUCUGUACUGCUUGUUCUAUUCCGGGAGGGUUUCAGCUCCUUCUUCUCCUCUUCAGAGUUAUCCGCCACUGAUGUGUUCUCCUCAUCCUCCUUCUCUUCCCUCUUUAUCUCGUUGGUUCCCGAGGAGACGCUGCUUCGCCCCAGCCCCCCUGACAAGCCACUGUACGUGUCCUGCUGCCUGUUGAGGUCGGGGAGUGAGCUGGGCUGUGACGGAAGUGUGACAUGGUUGUGGAGCAUGCUGGGGGUGCUGGACAGCCCGUCUUCAGGGUGACCUCCUCCCACCAGGCUGGGGUGCCGGCCCCCCAGGGACAUGACGGAGGCAGGGAAGGCCUGGCCCAGGCUGCCCACAGCAGCACUGUGUGCGGGUGCAGAGCCCAGCAGCCCAUGCAUGUCCCCGUGGUUGCUCGGCAUGGCGGCCGUCUGGCCCACGGCGUGAUUCCUCAGCACGUGGAUGGCUUCGUCCAACCUGUCUUCCAUUUUGUUUUGUAAAGUGUGGAGGCUCCCUUCGUAGCUGGGAGAUAAGGCACCCUGUCCGCCCGCUCGAGACCACUGGGAUGUGCCUGCAAGGCCCUGCGGGGAGCCGACCGGCGUGGAGGGGUUUGAUGAGAAGUUAUUGCUAGAGUGAUCUGGGGAAUAAAUUGAAGCUAGUGCCUUCCCAAGAGCGUCUCCCGAGCUCCCAGCCGUGGUUCCUCUGUUACCCAUCAUGGUGUCGGUCCCGCUGAUCGGCGGUGUGUGGCUGGAGACGCCGU
rnacentral:lncRNA from 1 species